UCUUUUCUUCUUCUUCUUCUUCUUCUUCUCUUCUCCCUCUUCUUCCUCUCUUCUUCCUCCUCUCUUCUUUUCCCUCUUCUUCUUCUUUUCUUCACUCCUCACGCCCCACCGAAAGAAACAGAGAGUGCGUGGAAGGCGAUGGGAUAAAACCGAAAUUUUCGGUUUUCUUUAUUUUCUUUUCAUUUUGCAACUUAGCAAUUUAGUCCUUGAAAUUUUUAUAUUUACAUAUAGGUCCUCAAAUUUACAUAUAAUUUCUUAUUAAUAAUUUUCAAAAGUGAGGGAUAUUACA
rnacentral:lncRNA from 1 species